GGUUUCCGUAGGUGACCCUGCGGAAGGAUCAUUG
rnacentral:rRNA from 1 species